rnacentral:rRNA from 1 species
CCUACGGGGGGCUGCAGUGAGGAAUAUUGGUCAAUGGGCGAGAGCCUGAACCAGCCAAGUCGCGUGAGGGAGUACUGCCCUAUGGGUUGUAAACCUCUUUUGUCGGGGAGCAAAAGCCGGACGUGUCCGGCUGUGAGAGUUACCGAAGAAAAAGCAUCGGCAAACGCCGUGCCAGCAGCCGCGGUAAUACGGAGGAUUCGAGCGUUUUCCGGAUUUAUUGGGUUUAAAGGGUGCGCAGGGGGAUUUUUAAGUCAGCGGUCAAAUCGUGGGGCUAAACCCCAUCCAGCCGUUGAAACUGGGGUCCUAGAGUGUGCGAGAGGUAGGCGGAAUGCGUGGUGUAGCGGUGAAAUGCAUAGAUAGCACGCAGAACCCCGAUUGCGAAGGCAGCAUACCGGUGCACAACUGACGCUCAGGCACGAAAGCGUGGGUAUCGAACAGGAUUAGAUACCCGGGUAGUC